rnacentral:rRNA from 1 species
GUGGGGAAUUUUGGACAAUGGGCGAAAGCCUGAUCCAGCCAUGCCGCGUGCAGGAUGAAGGCCUUCGGGUUGUAAACUGCUUUUGUACGGAACGAAACGGUCCUGGCUAAUAUCCGUGGCUAAUGACGGUACCGUAAGAAUAAGCACCGGCUAACUACGUGCCAGCAGCCGCGGUAAUACGUAGGGUGCGAGCGUUAAUCGGAAUUACUGGGCGUAAAGCGUGCGCAGGCGGUGCUGUAAGACAGGCGUGAAAUCACCGGGCUCAACCUGGGAAUUGCGCUUGUGACUGCAGUGCUGGAGUGCGGCAGAGGGGGAUGGAAUUCCGCGUGUAGCAGUGAAAUGCGUAGAUAUGCGGAGGAACACCGAUGGCGAAGGCAAUCCCCUGGGCCUGCACUGACGCUCAUGCACGAAAGCGUGGGGAGCAAACAGGAUUAGAAACCCCGGUAGUCC